rnacentral:misc_RNA from 1 species
UCCGACUUGACGUCGGCAGUCUCGUUAGAGUGCCCCACUUAAGGCUGGCAACUAACGACAGAGGUUGCGCUCGUUGCGGGACUUAACCCAACAUCUCACGACACGAGCUGACGACAGCCAUGCAGCACCUCUGUGGCGGCCCCCGAAGGGGAAGCCCUGUUUCCAGAGCGGUCCGCCACAGUUCAAGCCCAGGUAAGGUUCUUCGCGUUGCAUCGAAUUAAGCCACAUGCUCCGCCGCUUGUGCGGGUCCCCGUCAAUUCCUUUGAGUUUUAGCCUUGCGGCCGUACUCCCCAGGCGGAGUGCUUAAUGCGUUAGCUGCGGCACAGAGAGGGUUGAAGACCUCCCCACACCUAGCACCCAACGUUUACGGCUGGGACUAC